GAGGAGCUGGCGGAGAAUUCUGAGUUCAAUGAAAGUAAGGGUCCAUGUCUGGCAUUCCGGCGAGCAGCCUCAGUCCUGAAGAGUCUGCCAUCAGCAGUGCACUGUCUGGGGGCCAUCCAGGGCCUCCCCUGCCUGGGUGAGCACACCAAGGCUGUCAUGGAGGAGAUCCUUAUAUUUGGCCGCUCCUUUAAAGUUGAAGAGGUACAGAGUGAUGAACGAUAUCAAGCACUUAAGCUGUUCACCAGUGUGUUCGGGGUUGGACCCAAAACUGCUGAGAAGUGGUACCGCAGAGGGCUGCGCUCACUCAAGGAGAUUCUGUCCGAGCCCAACAUCCAGUUGAACAGGAUGC